rnacentral:rRNA from 1 species
CAGUCGCCGCGGUAAUACGGAGGGAGCUAGCGUUGUUCGGAAUUACUGGGCGUAAAGCGCGCGUAGGCGGUUACUCAAGUCAGAGGUGAAAGCCCGGGGCUUAACCCCGGAACUGCCUUUGAAACUAGGUGACUAGAAUCUUGGAGAGGUCAGUGGAAUUCCGAGUGUAGAGGUGAAAUUCGUAGAUAUUCGGAAGAACACCAGUGGCGAAGGCGACUGACUGGACAAGUAUUGACGCUGAGGUGCGAAAGCGUGGGGAGCAAACAGGAUUAGAUACCCGGGUAGUCCCUGUCUCUUAUAC